GUCUGCUGCCUCAUGGAUUGGCUGUGCAGUGUGGAAAAUGAUCUGUCCUGCCUCUUAACCAACUUGAUAAUGAAGACUCGGUAAAAAUAGGACAGUCAAUUUUAAAAGGCAGCAUGAGUCACGCGUGUGAGGCUGCACAGUCACAGAAGGUGGUUUGUAUGGACCCAAAUUCACUUUCAAAAACUGUCUCCCAGUGCAGAAGCACCUCCUCUCCUCACCCCUGCCAGUGUUCACUGUCUUACAGGCAUCUUUUCUUCACCAGUUCAUCGUUUCUAAAGAAGUUUAAAA
rnacentral:lncRNA from 1 species